rnacentral:rRNA from 1 species
UACGGAGGGGACUAGCGUUGUUCGGAAUUACUGGGCGUAAAGCGCGCGUAGGCGGACUGGUCAGUUGGGGGUGAAAUCCCGAGGCUUAACCUCGGAACUGCCUUCAAUACUGCCAGUCUUGAGUUCGGAAGAGGUGAGUGGAAUUCCUAGUGUAGAGGUGAAAUUCAUAGAUAUUAGGAAGAACACCAGUGGCGAAGGCG